UUCUCUUACACCAACCCCCUCCUCCCCCAACGCCCAUUCACACACACACACACACAAAGACCGACGCUUGCCAUCAUUCGCUGGAUGCCACAAUAUUUCCGAACCCUUCCGCGUAACGCCGCCACUUCCUCUGAUCAAGUCUUUUCCUUAUACGUACUGGGGCUCUUUCGCUCACCGACGCCCUCUCCCCCCCCCCCCCACACACGUACAUGAGCUGCUCCCAUCUUUCUCCCUCUCUCCCUUUUUUCUCCGUCUAACCUUUCCGAUUUUUUUUUUUACGCUCUUACACAAAGACGCGUGAGUUGUGCGGGCGUGGAGUGUGGUGUCGUUGAGGGAAAGCUGCCACUGCAACACAGCGUACACACCUCAGCCUGCCUCCUCUCUCGCGCGCGCGCACGCGGCAGCAGCAGCACGCAGUAGGCGGAGGGAAGGAGAGAGAGGGAGUGGCUUCAACUCGCACAGACGCGCAUCUGACCGCUUGUGUUUUCUUGCGUUUUGGACUUCACAUCUGCUCUUCUACAGUCAACCACGUUCACGUUUUCUUUUGUGGCUUCGCACCCGUGUUGUUUCUCCCCUCCCGCUGCUGCUCUCCCACCGUCUCUCAUGCCUCUACCCUGAUCACCGGCUCCUGGUUUGUCCUCGGCUUGUUUCGUGCACGUCUGCCUGUUUCGCUGCUCAUCUCAGCGUGAGUGACCUUACCCUCUACCUCCCCAUUCUCCCCCACACGGCGCCUUCGUGAGUGAAACUCGAAGAGGACCCGCACCACAUACCCGCCUGCUGAUCUCUGUGACGCCGCGUCUUCCAGCUGUCAAGCAGCGAAGGCCUGAGCUGCCACCCACCCCUUCCGCCCCCUCUCUUCACAACCUUCUUCUGCGCCGUGAUUUGCACCCUGUUCUUUGCUACUUUAUCCUCCCGAUACGGCACAGCGGGCGAGAGCCGACGAACUCCUUUCGUGGCACCUCCAGUGCGCCGGCUCGAGGUUCCAUCUGGAGAAGGGGCAAGCAAGGAGAAGGCGUUCGUGCACUGGGCGCUCAGCGGCCAUCUCUGCAGAGGUGAGGGGGAGGGGUCAAACAAAGAGAAGAAAGCGAUGGGCAGCCCUGACCCCCACCACCCGUUUCUCUCAUUAACAUCGCCCACUUGCCUCUAUCGUGCUGCCGCUCUGUUUCUGCACGCCCCCCCCCCUCCUCCCUUACUCCCCGGACCCUUCCCCCCUACGCCCCAGUUUUAGGGUCUUUGCGCUUUUCUGGUGGGGUGCAUCUGUCAUCUUGCCCAUCGUCCCUAUCGUUUACUUUUCUGUGCUGACUUCUCGCUGUUCCUACUUCGCUUUACGCGGUGCUCUUAUCCUACUCGUGCUCCCUCGCUCCGCCUUCCCGAACGCAG
rnacentral:misc_RNA from 1 species